UCCGAUGUUUGACCCUUCCAAAUUACAUGUAAACUGAAUCGCUAUCGUGACCCAGAUAGUUUAGCUUGUACACGAGGAUGUCGCAAAAUUAUGAAGAUUUUUUAUGCGACUAAGUCUUUAGCGCCCAUCGUCAACCACUGAAAAGUAAAAAGGUGACUCAAGAUGUUAUGGAAUUCAUCGAAUUCAAAAAGAAAUGUGAGCCAAGUAUUUAAGAUGCUCUGGAUUUCCCUGCUUCGUUCAUGCCUGGAUUUUUCCGACAGUGUGGAUAUGUAUAAUCACGGAAGGUAUCAUAUAAGUUGUUCAUAACAACAUGGCAUAUAUAUGUGUGUAACAACCCAUGUGUUCAACGAGUACCAGAUCUUUAUUAAAUGCUUAAAACUUAACGUAAAA